rnacentral:lncRNA from 1 species
CCACCUGCUAGCUACAUCAAGAGAAAUUACGUCAAAAUUCAGCUUGGGGGAGAGCACCCCCAUUUAUCUCACUAAGUAUUUCUACCUAUCUUUAUACUUAUAUUAUAUUAGAAUAUUAAAAUACAUAAACUAUGAAAAAACCAAAUAAAGAUUUUGUGCUUAUAUGUAUAUCUUUUGCUUAGUGUGUUUAAUAAAUAAAUAAAGUGGCUAUGCUAAUCUGAAUCUUAAUAAUAAAACUCUAGCAUGGAUAUGAUGAAUAGUUGCUCUGCCUAAUUUGUAAAUUUGAAGUUCUCUCUCAAGUUUAGACAUAACUGUUAUAAUUUAAAGCUUGCUCUAGAUCUAAACUUGUGGGAUGAAAACUUGAUCUGAAAUCUAAGUUGUUAACGGAUAUGAUAUGGGAAGGUUGAGCUGCUGUUUAUCUGUUCCUAGAGAUGCUAGAAUUCUGGAGAAUUUUAUCUUUGAAAAAUCUUUAAAAUAUUGCAUGAUGAGUUCCUGUAUGAUGAAAGUUUAAAUUCCUACCACAGCCAUAUAUACAUGCUUGCUAGAUUUUGAGCCACACAUUUAUUAUUUACUGCUUAUGAGCAUUGAGUGUGGUCAAGCUGUGUAGACCCUUAGGAGCUUGUCAUGUGGUUAAAUCAAGAUUUCACUUGCACGUUCACUCAUAUAUAUGCUACUUCUACUCCGGAAGUACCAUCCAUAUAUAUCCAUCCAUUUCCAUCUCCAAAAUCACCUAAAAAUAUUCUACUCCUAAUUCGGGAGAGAAUAGCCAAAAAUAUUUUCCUAUCCCUGUUAUUCCCUGUGAAAUAAAUGCUCCAGUUAUUUUGGUUACUACCACUUGCUACAUUAUUUCAGGAGAUGAGUGCUCUGAAAAAAAAGAGAAGAAAAGAAAAAAAAUAAUAAUAAACGAGGAAAUAAAAAGGGGCAAGUGCCCGGAACCUCGAAAGAAAGAAAAAGUGAGACGAGAGGUAAAAAUGGACAAGUGUCCGACAGUAGAAUUAGGGGUACAAGAUACCCACCUGAGAGGAAAGAAAAAGAAGAGCAUCUCAUUCUCCUCAUAAAGUUUCAAAAAGCAAGGAAGGUAUGUAUCCCCUCAAAAGAGCAAAAGUAGAAUUAGACUUUCACCAUUGCUAUCACCAUCAUCACCAUACACUAUUCAUUCGCCACACAUGCACAUCUUGAUUUGGCUUAUUGAUUUGUUUCUUUGGAUCCAUGGUUUGACUAUACAAUAAAUGUCUUGUAAGUAUGUAUAUUUUAUCUCCCACCUAUGAGCUCCAGAUAUUAAAGCCUUAUUAGAGUAGGGUGAGAGAGAAGACAAUGUCACUAUCCCUUAUACCACAAAUACCACAUAUUUUGAGAGAAGGCAUAUACCAUCACUGCCUUGGUAUGGAUCCAGAAAUACCACAAAAGAGAGAUAUAAGAGAGUCAUACAAAGGAAUCUCUGAGUUUUAUUUGAAAAUCUGCAAAAACUCCAGAGCUAUAGCUGAUCAAGAAUAGGCGACAUGGCACUUGACUGGACUGUUCUAUCUUUUAACCACUCAAGACAAAAGUGACGGUUACAAGUCCCAUGGUGAAAGGUAAAGUAAGUAAGUUUUAAGUCUUGACAGUUUACUCUAACUC